rnacentral:tRNA from 1 species
UACAACCCGGUGUUAGUUGCAUGUUUCAUUUUGGUUGAGAUGGAGAUUUGUUGUCGGUUGUAA